rnacentral:lncRNA from 1 species
GAACAGUGUGGAGUGAGCCAAAUGCAAAACCUUCCUGUUAGGGAUGUUGGCUAUUCAGCCAGCUAUUGACAAAAGGGAGAGAGAGAAGGAGAAAGAACUGAGAGCCACACACCCCAAUGGACGCCAUGACCACAGAGCUUUCAGAGUUCACGGUGAGGCAGGUGGGGGUCCCUGGACAGUCACAACUCAGCUGCAGAUAGUCACGAGAACCAGAACAGUCUGUCAUGGGGCUCUUCCAUUUCCAGAAGCUGUGGAAAAGGCCCAUGAUGUGGGAAGACUUCUCUUGUCCUCUCUACCGGAGAGCUGGGGAUGUCUCUCUCCUCCCUCUAUUCAGAGCUUCUCAGACUGGGGCUUGUCUCAGGUUUCACUGGCCAAAGGCAGUUCCAGGACCGAGGCGAGGGUCUGGCUCCAGAGGACAGCAUCUCAGCUCUUCCGCUCAGGGGCGCCAUCCUGCAACGAGGCGUCUUUGCCAUCUGCUGCCUCAGUGCCAGCCUCCAGGUUUGGCUCUUCUCCCGCAGGCUGUUCUCCAGAUUCCUGAGACUCCCCCACAACCUUGGUGCUCUUGCUAGAGUGGCAUCCCAUCUCAACCGGAUGCUAAGGGCUGAGCGCCCUGGGAUGUUCCAAGAAGACGCGAGGCUGUGCAGCUGAUCCUCGGGUGCCGGAGUUAAAUAACCUUUCCUCAGAGCACUGUUGAAAGAGAACUGGUUGGGUUUCUAUGGUCACCGGGAGAUGCCAGGUCCCAUCUGCAUACUGAGGCCCCCCUGCAUGGGCUGGGCCGGGCCUGGACGGCUGCCCUUCCUGCUGACCCGGCGAGUUCCAAGCACUGAGCCCCAUUCAUUCCCCGGAAGAAUUCUCUUUUGUCUAACCUUUAACUUCUUUACAAGUUACAACCCCCCACCUAGUUACCUGUAAACACCAGGGCGUGUCCUCACAGGGCAAGCCCCGUUACCACGCAACUAGCCUGGGGUGGGGGGGGGCCCUCCCGGGGUCACAUUCAGUUCCGCGACUCACAGACCCCCCGCUGGGAGGCCGUUCCCCUACCCUAGAGUGCCAACCCCACCUAGGGCUGAAGAAUAGGGAGGGCUAACACCGAGGACUCCAGGGGUUACCCAAACAUGGAGGGAAUGAAAAGAACUAGCAGGCUAGCAGGGACCGAGGGCCACUCGGUGCCAAGCACAGUUCACAUUCCUCAUCUUGUUUAAUCCUCACAACACCCCAAAGAGGCAGAUCAUAUUAUUUAAUCCUCGUUUGACAGAUGGAGGCACUGAAGCACAGAGAUGGAGUAAUUUAUUUAAGGUAGUUACUAACAGCCAGGAAAUAGCAGAGCUGAGAUUUGAGCCGAAGUCAUCGGAUUCCACUCUAUCACUACGUUAAUCUAUUUUAAAGACCCCAUCGGCCCAUCUUCACACACCAUCAGAGAUGUCAUCGGCUUCCUUGGCCUGUCAUUGCUCUUUUAAUCUGGGACACGUGGGUUGAGGUUUUCAAAGCUGUGAAUGAAUGAUCUCUGAUGUAAAUACUUCUAGCGAAGCCUUGCAGGCUACGGAACUGAAGUGAGCCCCUCCUGAGUUCUAUUCCACUCUGAUUUUAUUUUCUGAUCACCUCACUUUCCUUUUCCUAACUCUAAAAAAAGGGCCUGGUAAUCCUAACCCAGCUCCUAGGAAGCUGGAAAGAGGAUCAAGCAAGUCUGUGAAGUGGCUUUUCAGAAAAGCACAAAAAUUUAUUCUUUCCCACAUAUGCACAAAGCAGUCAAAGGUGACAUCAAUUCCCCUCCACUUAUGGAGGACUGGUGCACGCCAGCCUCUGACACUUACAUAAGUCCUUUCAUCUACUCCUCACAAACAGUCCUAGGAGACAGUGUUGUUGGUUCCACUUUAGAGUUGAAAUCAUUAAGUCCAGAGGCGUUAGGUCAGUCACGCGCCUGGUAAGCAGCAGCUCAGGAUGCUGCUUCCCAAGCCUGUGACCCCCCCAUUCCCUUUUCCCUCUCACCCCCACCCCUCCAUGCGCCCCAUCCUCCUCUCCCCACCUCUGGUUAAUACCAUUCAUUCUCCUGGACCCGGGCAUUCAGUGAUCUGCAAGAACAUGGUAAAACUCCCCUAUAAAUCACCUUUCUUUGAGUGAACGUCUUGCCAGCUGGGCUGGCAGAGUAACAAUUAGGAAUACAUUAUGAUACUGCUGACUUACCUCUCCCACAUAAAUGCCAAAGUACAGUUUGGGGGUGUUAGGGUGGAAGAGGGAGGCUCCAUUUGCCUUGCAAUUAAGAGUGCCUAAUUAAGGCAAAUCCUCAUUUGGAUAUUGGGAUCCUAAGCUAACAAUCCUCCUGUGAAGUCUCCAAAUUAAUCAUGCUUAGCCCAAGUGAGCACAAGAGACAGGCAGCAGGAGUUCGCAGGAGCCAGGUAAACCUUCAGGUUGAGCUUGGGUUAGUUUAGAGACGUGGUCGGUGGGAACAGAUGAGAGCCCUUUGCUAAGCGAACCUGUGAGAAGCCCCACCCUGCCUGUGGCCCCCACACCCGGGACCAGUUACAUAAUUUGUGGGGCCCAGUGCAAAAUUAAAACAUGGGCCCUUGUUCAAAAAUGAUUAAGAAUUUCAAGACGACGACAGUAGAACUUUAAAUGAAGCACGGAGCCCAUGAAGCCAGCCCUGCCCACACCCAACCUCCUCAAUUCUCAGAAAUGGAUUCACCUCUGAUGAGGACUGCAAUUUGCCGGAUCACCAGCUGUCUCGGCCUAGGGGACGUUGCCCUAGGAAUAGAAUGAGACCAAAAGAAAGACAAGAAAAGAGAAAUGGUGUAUGGACAGCCCAAAGAUGGAUGGGACCUCGGUAGGACACUUUCAAAAUAUUUUCAGUUUUAGACUGCUUCCUUAGCUAUUACUACCUACAAAAUGCAGCACACAAAAAAAUACCAACAUAGAAAAUACAAAUAAAAACUCCUUGGAAAAAAUACUGACA